rnacentral:rRNA from 1 species
CGGGUGAGUAACGCGUGGAUAACCUGCCUCACACUGGGGGAUAACAGUUAGAAAUGACUGCUGAUACCGCAUAAGCGCACAGUACCGCAUGGUACAGUGUGAAAAACUCCGGUGGGGUGAGAUGGAUCCGCGUCUGAUUAGCCAGUUGGCGGGGUAACGGCCCACCAAAGCGACGAUCAGUAGCCGACCUGAGAGGGUGACCGGCCACAUUGGGACUGAGACACGGCCCAA